CUUGGUCAUUUAGAGGAAGUAAAAGUCGUAACAAGGUCUCCGUAGGUGAACCUGCGGAGGGAUCAUUAUUGAAUGGUCUUUUGACCUUCGACCCCUCAAACCUGUGGAACCCAAACUGUGCUUCGGUGACCCCUUCGGGCGCCGCUUUUAUGCAUAAACCAGUGUGUCGUCUGAAUCUAUACAACAGAAUCAAAACUUUCAACAACGGAUCUCUUGGUUCUGGCAUCGAUGAAGAACGCAGCGAAAUGCGAUAAGUAAUGUGAAUUGCAGAAUUCAGUGAAUCAUCGAAUCUUUGAACGCAUAUUGCGCCCUUUGGCAUUCCGAAGGGCAUACCUGUUCGAGCGUCAUUACACCCCUCAAAGAUAACUCUUUGGUGUUGGGCAAUGCCUCAAGGCAUGCCUCAAAAUCAGCGAUGGUGAUAUUCAACCACAGGCGCACACACGUCGUCUAGCUGGCGGGAUGUUGUCAGUCAAUUGAUGAAUUUCUAAAUGUUGACCUCGGAUCAGGUAGGAAUACCCGCUGAACUUAAGCAUAUCAAUAAGCGGAGGAAAAGAAACCAACAGGGAUUGCCUCAGUAACGGCGAGUGAAGCGGCAAAAGCUCAAAUUUGAAAUCUGACCCUUCGGGUCCGAGUUGUAAUUUGCAGAGGACGUUUCGGGUAAGAUUUAGGUCUAAGUUCCUUGGAACAGGACGUCAUAGAGGGUGAGAAUCCCGUACGUGACCGUUGAUCGCACCCAUGUGAAACUCCUUCGACGAGUCGAGUUGUUUGGGAAUGCAGCUCAAAAUGGGUGGUAAAUUUCAUCUAAAGCUAAAUAUUGGCCAGAGACCGAUAGCGCACAAGUAGAGUGAUCGAAAGAUGAAAAGCACUUUGAAAAGAGAGUUAAACAGUAUGUGAAAUUGUUGAAAGGGAAGCGCUUGCAACCAGACUUGUUUAUAGGGUUCAGCCGUCGUUUUCGUCGGUGUAUUUCCCUAUUAUCAGGCCAGCAUCAGUUUAGGUGGAAGGUCAAAGGCCUUGGGAAUGUAUCAUCCUCCGGGAUGUCUUAUAGCCCUCGGUGUAAUGCUUCCCUCCCGGACUGAGGAACGCGCUUUUGCUCGGAUGCUGGCGUAAUGGUUGUAAGCGACCCGUCUUGAAACACGGACC
rnacentral:rRNA from 1 species